AACAACAAGGUUCUGCCACUUGGCAUCACCUCAUUAAACCAACACACUUGUCAAAAUUCUAGCCCCUCCACGUUAGUAUAAUCUUAUGUGUAAUUUUGUGAGAUUUUUUACUUUUUUAUGUUUAACUAAAGCACAGUCCCCAACUCUCUCUGUAACAUCUCUUUCACCCUGUACACACAAAACGUCAAAAACCCAGCUCAUACCCAUCUUUCCCUUUCUUCUUCAAAAUUCAAAUUCAUUGUUUCCCAAGCCAGAUCUACAAAACAAAUUCGAAAACCCAUUGAGAGAGAGAGAGAGAGAGAGACAAGAGUUGAAGGUGAUUCAGGCGAAUCACCACCAUCCGACGACAGUAACAGAGCUGCAAAGACAACCGCUCGAACUCUAAUUUAAGGGUUUACUUGAAAUCUGCUAUCCUAGAUCUACUAGACGUUAUUGGAAUCAGAUAUCAAAGAGCUGGGAUAAAAUGACAAUUGUGGAGGACCCGAUUCCAGAGCUUUCGUCUGAUUUGUCAACUAUUUCUCCGCCGAAUUCAUAUGGAUCUGUUGUUCUAGGUGGCACGUUUGAUCGCUUACAUGAUGGUCAUCGACUUUUCCUCAAGGCAGCUGCAGAGUUGGCUAGGGAUCGAAUUGUUGUUGGUGUUUGUGAUGGACCUAUGAUUUCCAAGAAACAGGUGGUUAUGUUGGAUCCUUGGAGUGUAUUGUGGGUGGUGUUCAUAUAAGAACAGGGGUUAGAGAAUAAAGAGUAUACAGAAAGAGAUGAAGGGAAGGGAAGGGGAGGCAGAAAGAGGUAUCGAAUGGCAGGGGCCAGAUCAAGGUCAUGAUCAAGAACAAGGGACCUUCAUAAGCUUCUCCUAAGGCCAGGGCAUCUGGUCGGACCCGCUUUCGAACCAGGUACCCAAGUAACUCCUAUAACAUAUUAUGUUCCAAUAUUAUUAUUAUUUUAGUUGCUGCUAACUUGGUCUGAUUUUGUGAAGCAGAGGUACGAUCUUCAAGAUUAAGUGUGUAUAUUGGUUGUGGGUGCUGGUGGGUUGGGUUGUGAACUUCUCAAAGAGUCGCCCUCUCCGGUUUCAGCAAUGUAGUUUCAUUAUCUGUGUUUUUUAGCGUCUUUUGGAAAUUGGAACCUUUGCUACUGAGUUGUGUAGGUUGUAGAGGCUUUAAGAGUAAUGGUAAUGGGUGACCCCUUUGGAGAUACUAUAUCUAAGGUACACUGUUGGAAAUCAGAGAUUUAAACAAUUAAAAGAACAAGAAGCAAGGAGGAAACAACAAAAAGAGGCAGAAAAAGCUAAAGAGGCUUCAUUGACAAAUGAAGUUGACCAUGAACUUAAAGCCGAUUCUAUGAGUUCUGCUAAUGGAAGUCCUUCAUCUUCAGAUUCCAGUCAAGUUGAUAGAACUUCGAUUUCUAAAGGGAAAAUGGCGAAGAUUCGGUUUUGUAUAAUAGCAGAAGAGAUCGACAGCAUCUUGAUGAAAAUCUUGAAAAGGAAAAAGCCGCCACGUGUACCACAGAAAACAAAAGCGCAACCAAAGAUGAACAAGAAGAAUGAUCAUGAACAACCAAGCAAGAAAAAAAUAAUGUGGGAGUACAAAAGAACUUGGUUUAGGUUCAUGAACACAUGGUCAUGCACACGCACCGUCAGGUUCGUUUUGAUUAUACACAAGAUAAGGUGUAGAUACGUUUAGAGGGGUUCGGAUACAAUGAUGUGGAAUAUUUGUUUCUAUAAUCAAGUUUCCAUGAUAUAUAGGCAGUGAGAACUUAGAAUUCGGGUUUAAAAUUUGUCCCGAUAUUUGUUUAGACUUUAUUUAUACCAUUUUUCGUGUUCCUCUUAUAUCCUUAACUACUUUAAUGACAAAAAGUUAUAUUUUUGAA